CACGUAGGGGGCGAGCGUUGUCCGGAAUCAUUGGGCGUAAAGAGCUCGUAGGCGGCUCAAUAAGUCGGGUGUGAAACCUCCAGGCUCAACCUGGAGACGCCACCCGAUACUGUUGUGGCUAGAGUCCAGUAGGGGAGUGUGGAAUUCCCGGUGUAGCGGUGAAAUGCGCAGAUAUCGGGAGGAACACCAGCGGCGAAGGCGGCACUCUGGGCUGGUACUGACGCUGAGGAGCGAAAGCGUGGGUAGCAAACAGG
rnacentral:rRNA from 1 species